rnacentral:sRNA from 1 species
UGAGAUGCUAAAGCAUGUCUCCCAAAAGUGGGAACCGGUUUUGGGAUAAAGACAUGCGUGAAAACAAAAGUUUAAAGCGUGUUCCCUGAAUAUAGUAAGAUGCAACACGCUUUAACGCAUCACGCCUUGAAAAAGCUCAAUCGCCACUCGGGCUUAACCAAAGUCCAAUGAGUUUCAUU